AUGAGGCUCCCUGCUCAACUCCUGGGGCUGUUAAUGCUCUGGGUCCCUAGAUCCAGUGAGAACAUUGGGAUGACCCAGAUUCCACUCUCCCUGCCUGUCACCCUUGGAGAGCCGGCCUCCAUCUCCUGCAGGUCUAGUCAGAGCCUCAUGGAUAGUGAUCAUGGAUUCACCUAUUUGUAUUGGUACCUGCAGAAGCCAGGCCAGUCUCCACAGCUCCUGAUCUAUUUUGUUUCCUACCGGGCCUCUGGAGUCCCAGACAGGUUCAGUGGCAGUGGGUCAGGCACUGAUUUCACACUGGAAAUCAGCAGGGUGGAGGCUGAGGAUGUUGGGUUUUAUUACUGCAUGCAAAGUAGAGAGCUUCCUCCCACAGUGGUAUAGCCCUGAACAGAAAUCUCUCUGCUGGGGUGUCCCAGCUGCUCACAUGCCCUGCUUGUCUUGGGAGCAGCUCAGCAGUGUCUCUGAGACUGCAGAAGAGGAGGCUGUUGGAGGAAUCAGGUCAGAGUAUGCUUCUGAAGACUCUGUCUGGGACGACAGGUGCAUGUCACUAAGCAUGGCUAAUUUUUAUAUUUUUCAUAGCAUUGGUACUUCACCAUGUUGCACAGCCUGUUGUCAACCCCAUGGGCUCAAGCCACUCACCUGACAUGGCCUCCCAACAUGCUGAGUGUAUAGGUGUGAAACAGUAUGCCAGGUCAGCACCCCUGUUUAUGUUCCUGUCACCUCACACAGCCUUCACUCUCAUAAGCAACAGGAAAAUGAGGAUGUUCAAGGACUCUGUGAGUAAAAAAUUGGGACAAAAGGAAAAGGAGAAUGGAAUCCUCCUUCCUUGCCUACAUUUGUUGAAAUUUAUUGAGCAAAACAGCCAGACAAUUGAUCAUUUCUGGCAUAACAUGUUGAAUACAUCUUAGGGCUUAGCAAUUUUUGGUAAAUUUUAAAGAAAAUAUUUGGUUAUAUGUAAAAUUGGUAUUUUCCCACUUUUUAAAUUCCUGUUGUUCUAUUUCCCAUUCUUCUCCACUCCAUGAGACAGUAGAGACAGGAUUCUCCACUAGUUCUCCUCAGGGGGAGCUGACUGAGGACAAUCAGUAACAUCUUGUUCUUGAGUGUCAAAUAGAUUUUGUAAUUUCAUAGCAGACACAAGAUAUUAAUACUAAAACUCUUUGAUUACAAUUGAAUCUUGCUGAUGUAAAUAGGGAGUUCUUGAAAUUUGGAAAGUUGGUAUUAAAAAUAAACUGCAGGCAUUACAAGAUGACCGAAUAGCAACAGCUCCAGUCUACAGCUCCCAGCAUGAUCAACACAGAAGAUGGGUGAUUUCUGCAUUUCCAACUAAAGUACAUGGUUCAUCUCAAGGGGACUGGUUGGACAGUGGAUGCAGCCCACAGAGGGCGAGCUGAAGCAGAUC